rnacentral:lncRNA from 1 species
AAACAAAGAUUACCCGUUAUUUUCUCCUUCGUUGUGUGUCGAGUGCGGCGAUUGCUGGAAAUGAGAUAAACUUUGUGUGAAAAUACUCACGACUUUGAUUGGGUAAAAUGAAUGCCCAAGAAACUUCUCGUCGCCUUAUAAGCCAUUAGUUGUAUGAAAACACUCAAGCCUGGUAGCGGUGUCGAUUCUCCUUAUAAAAUGUUUUUGUCUGUGACUGUGACUUGAAGAUCGCAUAAUAGAAAAACUACAACUGACGACCACUUUUUUUUUGUAAUAUGGAAUCUGAAUAUUUUGAAACAUCCUGGAAGUUAAAGAUCAAACAAGUACGCAGACACUUUCGCUACAUUAUAAGAAAAACCGUGCGUCGGUAUAAAAAGAAGAAGGAGUACACACGAUUCCUCACUGAAGAGGAACAAAGGUGCUAUCACUCUGAACGGGAAGAACCCAUAUCAUUGUCCAUAACGGACGUAACACCGGUCUGCUGUGUAGCCACAGUAGAACCACGUUUAACCAGGGAGCGGAUUAAGGAGGUUUGGGACGUACAGUCCGUUCACUGCAUUUUAUCUCUCAAUACAUAUACAUUAUAUAUAGCUAUACCACAUUACGUGAUUAGAGAAGGAUUAAUUUUGCUCGAGACUGUACUUUCACAAAACGUAACAAGCUUUAACUCGUGAUUUAAUUACAUUUAGCUUACCAAAAUAAUAUUUUAUGAAUUAACUGACUAUAUUAUUAUAAAAUAAUUGAUAAUUUAUUAUUAAUUUAAAUGAAAUAAUAAGUUUUUUAAUUUUAAAUGUUUUUUAAAAAGUUUGGCGACGCAGCAAAUUUUACCGCGGUUGCGCAUGCGUCGACUGUUCUAUUCGUGUUGGUGAUGUGUCUGUGUGUAUGGUAACAUGUAAUGCUAUUCAGACAGUGAUAUUUACACAAAUAAAAUUUUUAAGAAUAAAUAAAAAAUGAGUGACGGAGAAAAGCGUUAUUAUUGGAAAGGAAAGCGAGUGAACGAAAAAAUUUACAACCUACGUAUUUCUCAACGCAAGAACGGACAGAAAAGAAAGAAAACAUGCGAUCUAACCUCUCAGUUGUCUGGCAUUGUACCAGGAAGGAGAAUAAUAAAAGUUUGUCAUUUCCUAAAACAACUAAAAUGCGUACAUUGCAAGGCAUUGCUGGAUUUGGAAGAAAAUCUUAAAAGAGAAGAACGACGUGGCUUGGGUUCGACUUGGCAUGUAUUGUGUACAGCUUGCAAUAUUUUAAACAAAGUUACUACUGACAAGCAACAUCCAGAUGCAACGACUAAAAGGCAACGUUUCGAUAUAAAUUCCAAGAUUGCAAUAGGCGCACUUCACUCUGGGAUUGGAGCAACUCAUCUCAAUAAAAUGUUCGCCUCUGCUAAUAUACCUUCAAUUGAUUCCAAAACUUUCAAGACACAUGAAAAUGAAAUGGGAACAGCUGUUGAAGAAGUGGCUAAAGAAAGUUGUCAUAAAUGGGCUGAAGUUGAACGUAAAAUGACGGUUGAAAAUUCAGAUAAGAUUCAACAGUCAUUGUAAGCAUUGUCAGUUUAGAUAUUUUUAUGUUGUAAAAAAUUGGUACUCGAUUGUACAGUCAAUACUUAGAUGAUCGAGGAUUUUAAAGUAUUGUCAUGUUGCAAAAUUGUACAGUGAGAAUUAUUAGAUUUUAAAAUUGUAAAUAAGGAUUAUAAAUCGAAGUUAUGAAUUCAAAACCGUCAUAAUUUGUAAAUAUUAUACUCAAAAUUAAUGAACAGGAAGUAAAACAUUCUUUUUUACUUGGUGUUAAUGAAAUUAAUUUAAUUAAAUCGAUCAUUAAAAUAUUUUUAUAAUAAUUUUACACUUUUUACAUAAUUUUUUUGUAUUCUAAAUUUUUACAACGACUGAAUAAAAGAAUCAAU